rnacentral:misc_RNA from 1 species
GAUUCUUACUCCCGGUUGGAAAACUAGGAUUAUAUUUUAGGGGGUUUCCAACCGGGAGUAAAAAUCGU